AUUGAACGCUGGCGGCAGGCCUAACACAUGCAAGUCGAGCGGCAGCGGGAAAGUAGCUUGCUACUUUUGCCGGCGAGCGGCGGACGGGUGAGUAAUGCCUGGGGAUCUGCCCAGUCGAGGGGGAUAACUACUGGAAACGGUAGCUAAUACCGCAUACGCCCUACGGGGGAAAGCAGGGGACCUUCGGGCCUUGCGCGAUUGGAUGAACCCAGGUGGGAUUAGCUAGUUGGUGAGGUAACGGCUCACCAAGGCGACGAUCCCUAGCUGGUCUGAGAGGAUGAUCAGCCACACUGGAACUGAGACACGGUCCAGACGCCUACGGGAGGCAGCAGUGGGGAAUAUUGCACAAUGGGGGAAACCCUGAUGCAGCCAUGCCGCGUGUGUGAAGAAGGCCUUCGGGUUGUAAAGCACUUUCAGCGAGGAGGAAAGGUUGGUAGCUAAUAACUGCCAGCUGUGACGUUACUCGCAGAAGAAGCACCGGCUAACUCCGUGCCAGCAGCCGCCGUAACAC
rnacentral:rRNA from 1 species